GAUUUGUGGAUAGUUUCAAGACCAUGUGCAACUGUGACCGUCGUUUGUGCAAUCUUGUAUUCGAUUUGGAAACUGCAUUUCAUCUGGAGACGAAAGACGAACCAUAUCCGUGUCUACCAUAUUGUGUCAAUUGUUGUGAAUUUCAUUAUUGGUAAGUCUUAAAACCAAUUAUACGCAGAUGUCACUAUAUCCUAACUAUAUUGAUAUGUUUAUCAAAUUCGAAGUAUAUCUAAAUGAUCUAGGAAUAUUAUAACUAUUGCACACAUGUAUAAUGACGGUUGUGUACAUCAUCAACAAUUAAGGGAUACGGAUAUAUAUACAAAUUCUUCUUGUGUGCAAAUCCCUGUUUUCUAUUGUAUUAUUGUAAUUUGUGCACUGUUGAAAUAUAAAAUUGUUAAAACUAACGAUAAUCAGUAAAGUAUACUAUAAUGCAUGUUAUUUCAAAGUUGCGUUGUGAAAACAGUCCCAUAAUGUUACCUAAUUCUCUAGCAGACAGCAACAAUGUUGAUGACGAACCAAGCGUUCGAAUGGGAUAUCACCAAUCCAUUAUAGUUGUAUUCAAGUACGAAUUCCCUUUUCCUUCGAGUUUAAUAAACAUAUAGACAGUACUUUUUUGGUAACAUAUAACAUUAGUUUACAUGUAUCUAUAUUGUAGGUUCUGCUUUAAUUGUAUGCUUUUUGACGUUUGGUGUCGCAAUACAAACCUUGGAUGAGCUGAAAAUUGAUUACAUAUCGGAAAUUGAGAUAAUACAAGACAUAAACAGAUAUUUUUUUAUUUCUUUCUUGAUGGUUUCUGUUGCAACAUUAUUGCACUUUUGUAAUAGAAUACUAACGAUUAUCAGUUUAUACAGUUGCAAUGCUAUCAACACACAAUGCGCAUCUGGAAGACUCUCAAUAGUGACAACUGGAAGUGGUUGGGCGGAACCUUGGGGAUAGCUUCUGAUAAAUAAUUAUCGGUUGAUAAUAAAUAACUUAUUACAAUUAAACCAACCUUGACAAAUUAUUAGUAUAUUUUUUAGACUGUGUUUGAUAACUGAUUCAUUACAGUAUGAUAUUUGUUUUUAUUCACACAUUAUUAACUGUCCUUUUUAGUCAUUUUUUAUAAAUGAUACAAAAAAAUCAUAGUUAUGAGCCAUUUUCAGACAUCUUUAGUUUGGCUGCAAAUGUUUAGAUAUAGACAUAAAGUUGUUAACAUCUACAAACGUGAUGCUUUGUUAUGGUGUAUAUUGGCAAUGCGCAGAAACUAUUAAAAGAUGAUUUAAAAAAGGAUCUCUGAAUGGGAUUUACAGACUGACAAAAUAAAGGGAAAACUCAGAAACAAUGGACCAAAAUCAAUAAUAAAAAAUAAUGGAGUGCCUCAAUAUAAUGAAAAAAAACCCAAGAAAUAAUAAUGGGGUGUUUUGAUUCAACGAAUAUAGAAUAACGGUCAAAUAGACGAGGAAUAGAAAGACAGAAAGAACCUAUAUAGACCCUCCUGUAGCGCGAAGUGAUUCCAAAAUAAGCUUCUGUUCUUUGCUUUUUGCAGUUUCAUUUUGUGUUUGAUAUAUUUGUUUUUACGCCAGAUAGUUUUUUCUCCUCAAUCGCAGUUUCUUUUCUAAACAGUUCUUGACAGCAAAAUGAUCUGUUUAUAUAUGUCCUUUCCAAAAUAUAGUACCUGGACACCGGUCAUUUGAUAAUAAAACAAGUAAGAUAUCGCUCGAAAAAAGCAAUCAAAUCAACAAUAAAAAACCAACCAAAAAUCAAAACAAAAGAAAUAUAAAAAAGGUUUCAAAAAGCACACAAAAAAGAAAACCCCUCACAAUAAUGAUGAUUUAUUGGAUAACAGCAUCUCUUAUGAAAAUUAAUUUCCCGAUGAUAUUGGAAAAACACAUUUAAACAAUAGUACGAGGUACUCAUAAAACCAAAGUAAUAGAGGAAACUAAUCGGAAAUAUGAGACUUCAAUCUACUCAACGCCACACAAUAAACACUUUCAUCGGCAAAUUAUACAUACAUUUAAUUAUAAUGUUCUUCACAUGUUAAAAAUGUAAAAAUCAAAAUGUCAUUCUCAAACAAAAUGAACCGGAAUGUAUUCAGAGCAAAUACAAUUAUUUUUGUUUUGACAAUUAUAUUUUCUUUCUAA
rnacentral:lncRNA from 1 species